GGGUACAGUGAUGCUAGUUUUCAGACGGAUCGGGAUAACUUCCGAUCGCAGUCGGGCUGGGUCUUUACCCUAAAUGGAGGAGCAGUGACUUGGAAAAGUUCCAAGCAAGAGACCGUAGCUGAUUCAACGUGCGAAUCAGAGUAUAUUGCGGCGAGCGAAGCGUCAAAGGAGGCUAUAUGGUUGAAGAACUUCAUUGGAGACCUUGGAGUUGUGCCAUCCAUAAAGGAGCCCGUGGAAAUUUUCUGUGAUAAUGAAGGAGCGGUUGCCUUAACCAAGGAACCAAGGGAUCAUGGCAGAUCUCGACAUAUCGACAGGAAAUACCACUUUAUUAGACAUCGGGUAGAAGAGGGACUCCUCGUUGUGAAGAGGGUAUCGUCAGAAGAUAACCCAGCAGAUCCCCUUACGAAGGGACUGAGUAGGGUCAAGCAUUUGCAGCACGCUAGGAGCGUAGGGCUGAAGGACGAUAUUAGUUUAGAUUAGAUAGGUAGGAAACUUGUAAUAGAUAAUGUCAUAUUCAACAAAUGAUGAUUAAAUAAAGGUGUGUUAUUUAUAAGAAAGUUUCUAUCUUGUGUUGAUUAUUUAUCUAUUGUGUCGAUUUUGCAUGUUUUGACUUCCUGAAUAAUAAGAUUAUUCGAACAGUUCACAAUCGCUCAUAUGUUGGAAGUAGAUAUGAAGGAAGAUUGUCAUAAAUUUGUUUGUAGAUUGUCUGAAAAGUUUUAGACAUAGCAAAGGUUUGCUGCAAAGUUUAUGAGUGCUUAUGAAAUUUGUAUUGAGCAUUGAAAUAGACCCACACUUGCUGGUAUUACUUCAUGAAUGUUAUCACAAGUGAUCGCAAGAUGAUAAUAUCAUAUAAUCUUUAAACCUAGAGAUAUGGUUAUUGUUUGCUAGUUGAUUAUACAUUGAUAAUGCGAAAACGCAUCAGUAACUUGAUGUUAUAAAACGUAUUAUUGUGUGUGGUUUAACUAGUAAAUGAUAAAGGCAUAUUAGUCGACGUUUUUCUGUUCCUUUUAUUCUAUGAUGAUAAAAGCGAUAUCUUGGCCACUUGAUUUGAUUGACUUAUGUGUCGGGGCCGGUCAGGAUAAAGUUGAUGUGUUCAACUGAGUUCUGUGUCGAACAAAUCAGAGAUCAAGAAAUAAAGUGCUAAACAAUAAGUAUUGUUAGCAUGAUAUCUAGAACAGAGGAUUAUGUGAUCCCUUAUCUAAAGGACAGAUUAUUGGUCAGGGUUGACAGCGGCUAUUGAAAGCUACGAUUGCUAUCGGGUACGGAAGUCAUACGUGAGAUAUAGUUACUAGACUUAUCCAAGUGGGAGACUGUUGGAUUAGUGUCUAAGUUAGUAACCAUAUUUGGUAUAUACUUGACCCGAGUGUGCAUGGUCCUUUUGGGUUGCCUUCACCAAAGCAACUUGACAAGGUAAUUUGAUAUGAGAGAGGAGAUAUUAUGAUUUAUUUAUAUAUUAUAAGAAUAAUAUAUUAANUUUUCUGUUCCUUUUAUUCUAUGAGGAUAAAAGCGAUAUCUCGGCCACUUGAUGAUUUGGUUUGACUUAUGUGCCGGGCCCGGUCAGGAUAAAGUUGAUGUGUUCAACUGAGUUCUAUGUCGAACAAAUCAGAGAUCAAGAAAUAAAAUGCUAGACAAUAAGUAUUGUUAGCAUGAUAUCUAGAACAGAGGAUUAUACGAUCCCUUAUCUAAAGGACAGAUUAUUGGUCAGGGUUGACAGCGGCUAUUGAAAGCUACGAUUGCUAUCGGGUACGGAAGUUAUACGUGAGAUAUAGUUACUAGACUUAUCCAAGUGGGAGACUGUUGGAUUAGUGUCUAAGUUAGUAACCAUAUUUGGUAUAUACUUGACCCGAGUGUGCAUGGUCCUUUUGGGUUGCCUUCACCAAAGCAACUUGACAAGGUAAUUUGAUAUGAGAGAGGAGAUAUUAUGAUUUAUUUAUAUAUUAUAAGAAUAAUAUAUUAAAGGAGAAAUCAUAUUUAUUUAAUUAGUAUUAGUCAUAAAUUAAUUAGGAAUUAAUUUGGUGACUAAAAGAGAUUAAUUAAAUAAAGGGGUAUAAACUGUCAAAUGUGUGAUAGUUGAGUUUUGGGCUAGGAAACCUAAUGGACUAAGGGGAACGAAAUUAUGAUGAAGGAUCAUCAUAUUUUCGUCCAAGGCCUCAUUCCAUAAGGUUCCUUGGGCUGCUUGGUGGCUAAGCUGUCCAUUAGGGUUUAGACUAAAAACCCUAGCACCCUAUAGUAUAAAUACAUGCCCUAUGCUUCAAUUUAAGGCCACUUGAUUCCAAGGGAACCCUAGGGCCGAAAUUAGCAUCAUUCCCUUCUCUCUCUUAGUUGCCUUCUUGCUUCAAGGUGUUUGUGAGCCAUUAGAGGCACU
rnacentral:lncRNA from 1 species